GGGAAUGUGGCUUAGUGGUAGAGUGCUUGCCUAGCACGCAUGAAGCUGUGGGUUAGAAUCCUCAAUACCA
rnacentral:tRNA from 1 species